GACGAACGCUGGCGGCGUGCUUGACACAUGCAAGUCGAACGGAAAGGCCCUGCUUUUGUGGGGUGCUCGAGUGGCGAACGGGUGAGUAACACGUGAGUAACCUGCCCUUGACUUUGGGAUAACUUCAGGAAACUGGGGCUAAUACCGGAUAGGAGCUCCUGCUGCAUGGUGGGGGUUGGAAAGUUUCGGCGGUUGGGGAUGGACUCGCGGCUUAUCAGCUUGUUGGUGGGGUAGUGGCUUACCAAGGCUUUGACGGGUAGCCGGCCUGAGAGGGUGACCGGCCACAUUGGGACUGAGAUACGGCCCAGACUCCUACGGGAGGCAGCAGUGGGGAAUAUUGCACAAUGGGCGGAAGCCUGAUGCAGCAACGCCGCGUGCGGGAUGACGGCCUUCGGGUUGUAAACCGCUUCCGCCUGUGACGAAGCGUGAGUGACGGUAAUGGGUAAAGAAGCACCGGCUAACUACGUG
rnacentral:rRNA from 1 species